GACGAACGCUGGCGGCGUGCUUAACACAUGCAAGUCGAACGGAAAGGCCCUGCUUUUGUUGGUUGCUCGAUUGCCGAACGGGUGUGUAACACGUGUGUAACCUGCCCUUGACUUUGGGAUAACUUUUGGAAACUGGGGCUAAUACCGCAUAGGAUCUCCUGCUGCAUGUUGUGGGUUGGAAAGUUUCGGCGGUUGUGGAUGGACUCGCGGCUUAUCAGCUUGUUGGUGGGGUAGUGGCUUACCAAGGCUUCGAGGGGUAGCCUGCCUGAGAGGGUUAACGGGGACAAGAGGACUGAGGGAGGGACCAGAAGCGAACGUGAGGCAGCAGGGGAGAGUAUGACGCAAUGAGGGGAAGCGUGAUACAGAAACGCCGCGAGCGGGAUGACGGGCUUCGAGUUGUAAACAGCUUUCGCAUGUGACGAAGCGGGAGUGACGGUAAUGGGUAAAGAAGCACCGGCUAACUACGUG
rnacentral:rRNA from 1 species